AACUGCGAAUGGCUCAUUAAAUCAGUUAUCGUUUAUUUGAUAGUACCUUACUACUUGGAUAACCGUGGUAAUUCUAGAGCUAAUACAUGCUGAAAACCCCAACUUCGGGAGGGGUGUAUUUAUUAGAUAAAAAACCAACGCCCUUCGGGGCUUCUUGGUGAUUCAUGAUAACUUAACGGAUCGCAUGGCCUUGCGCCGGCGACGGUUCAUUCAAAUUUCUGCCCUAUCAACUUUCGAUGGUAAGGUAUUGGCUUACCAUGGUUUCAACGGGUAACGGGGAAUUAGGGUUCGAUUCCGGAGAGGGAGCCUGAGAAACGGCUACCACAUCCAAGGAAGGCAGCAGGCGCGCAAAUUAUCCAAUCCCGACACGGGGAGAUAGUGACAAUAAAUACUGAUACAGGGCUCUUUUGGGUCUUGUAAUUGGAAUGAGUACAAUUUAAACCUCUUAACGAGGAACAAUUGGAGGGCAAGUCUGGUGCCAGCAGCCGCGGUAAUUCCAGCUCCAAUAGCGUAUAUUAAAGUUGUUGCAGUUAAAAAGCUCGUAGUUGAAACUUGGGUCUGGCUGGCAGGUCCGCCUCACCGCGUGUACUUGUCCGGCCGGGCCUUCCUUCUGGAGAACCUCAUGCCCUUCACUGGGCGUGUUGGGGACCAGAACUUUUACUUUGAAAAAAUUAGAGUGUUCAAAGCAGGCCUUUGCUCGAAUACGUUAGCAUGGAAUAAUAAAAUAGGACGUGCGGUCCUAUUUUGUUGGUUUCUAGGACCGCCGUAAUGAUUAAUAGGGACAGUCGGGGGCAUCAGUAUUCAAUUGUCAGAGGUGAAAUUCUUGGAUUUAUUGAAGACUAACUACUGCGAAAGCAUUUGCCAAGGAUGUUUUCAUUAAUCAGUGAACGAAAGUUAGGGGAUCGAAAACGAUCAGAUACCGUCGUAGUCUUAACCGUAAACUAUGCCGACUAGGGAUCGGGCGAUGUUCUUUUUCUGACUCGCUCGGCACCUUACGAGAAAUCAAAGUUUUUUGGGUUCUGGGGGGGAGUAUGGUCC
rnacentral:rRNA from 1 species